rnacentral:lncRNA from 1 species
UGGAGAGGCAGUGAGGGCACGUGGAAGGAACAGUCCUGCAUCAGUAAGUUUUAUCUCCAGCACAUAAAUGACUGAGAUGUCUGUUCCAGUUAAGAACAAAGCUGGUUGCUUCUCUUCCUCAAGACCUUGUGUAGCCUCAUGGUUCCUGCUGUGGGUAAGAAGCUGGAUUAUAAUGGUAUGCCAGAUUCUCUGGGUCUAAGGAUCUGGCCUUUUUUCCUGGAAGAAUGUUCCUUACAGAAGAAGGAAUAUUUCCCAACUCAUUUAAUGAGGCCAACAUUAUUCUGAUACCAAAACUAUACAAAAGCAUUACAAGGAAAGAGAACUACAGACCAUUAUUCCUGAUGUACAGUUUCCUGGAGCUGAGGUGGGGUGACACAAGCACCCCUGUGACCACCACCACUGGGACAGCACUGAGUCUCACUCAAGCCUCGUGGUAACCACUGCCUGUACUGCCUGCUUUUCGUUGAAGACUUCCUUGAGUUAUCUUUUUGGUCCAUAUUACAAAGAACUUUUUGUACUCUCCCUCCUUCUACCACCUUAUGCUCCUCUCUCUUUCCCCAUUUGAUUUACCUAUUCUGCUUCUCAGCAAUUAACCUUCUUUUCUUGUAGGUACUCUGAUAUAGUUUGGAUGUUCCCUCUAAAUCUUAUAUAAUUUCCAGUGUUGGAAGUGGGCAUGGUGGGAGGUAUUUAAAUCAUGGGGGUGGAUUUCUUAUGAAUAGUUUAGCCCCAUCCACUUGGUGCUGUCUAUGUGAUAGUGAGUGAGUUCUCAUGAAAUCUGGUCUUAAAAGUGUGUGGUACCUUCCCCCUACUCUCUCUCACUUGCUCCCAUUCUCGCUAUGUGAGACUGUGUCCCCCCUUCACCUUCUGCCAUGUUUGAAAGCUCCCUGAGGCUUCACUAGAAGCCCAGCUGAUGCCAACACCAUGCUUCCUGUAAAGCCCACAGAACCAUUAGCCAAUUAAACCCCCUUUCUUUAUAAAUUACCCAGUCUCAGGUAUUUCUUUAUAGCAAUGCAAGAAAGGAUUAAUACAUACUCCCAACUCAUCUGUUUAAUA